UACCGGAAACUUCCAGAGAUGGUUGUCCCCUUUUAGGUCGGUAUACAGGUGGUGCAUGGUUGUCGUCAGCUCGUGUCGUGAGAUGUUGGGUUAAGUCCCGCAACGAGCGCAACCCUUCGUUCUAUGUUGCCAGCACGUAAUGGUGGGGACUCAUGGAAGACUGCCGGGGUCAACUCGGAGGAAGGUGGGGAUGACGUCAAAUCAUCAUGCCCCUUAUGUCUUGGGCUUCACGCAUGCUACAAUGGCCGGUACAAAGGGCUGCGAUACCGCAAGGUGGAGCGAAUCCCAAAAAACCGGUCUCAGUUCGGAUUGGGGUCUGCAACUCGACCCCAUGAAGUCGGAGUCGCUAGUAAUCGCAGAUCAGCAACGCUGCGGUGAAUACGUUCCCGGGCCUU
rnacentral:rRNA from 1 species